UACUACUUUGUUCCCUCAAUGAAACGACAUUGUUUAGCUCCUAAUGGUGGGCUUAAAAGGGUAAUUUUCUGGGUGCAAGAGAGUGACCUAAAACUUUAUAGGCAAAUGUAACUUACACCCAAAUUUGUAUAACCAUCUUUGUUUUUCAAGUGGUCUCUAAAUUUGCCAGUAAGUAGUUCUUAUCGGUAUCGCGCGGAGAAAAGUGGGGAGGAAAUUUAAAACAAUUGCAGAGAAAGUGAGUAGGGGAUGAGAAAAGAUAUCAAAAAAUGACCGUGUGCAUUAUAUAGUGGAUGACACUUUUAUAUGCAAUUGAGUGGUUAUGUCUAUGAAGGCAUCAAUUGCAGAAGAAAUACAGAGCAAUUUCGUUCUCCAUGAAUGCCAUUGCACCAAUGAAUCUCCCUCAGACUGACUGUGCUAACAUGACUUAUUACUUACCUAGCAGAAGCUCAUUUGGAUACAGAAGCAAAGCUAAUUUAUUUAACUAGAUCACUCUUUUGGGAGAAGAGCUGAAGCCAGAUGUUGAAUUUGGUUUGCUUCUCCACAAUUUGACUCUUAAGCAACUCCAUCACUGCAUUUAAAACAAAAUGUUAAGUCAAACUGAUCAGAAUCCAAACCACUUAUUUAAUGAAGUCAAGACCAGUCUUAAAUCUUUCAUUUGCAUCACAAUUAAGCAGUGUUAAGUAAGGGCUAUUUUCUUGUAGUGUUCCAGUAAUCAAAAUGAAAUAAAGAAAAUUCAGGAGGAUUUCAAAAACUGAAAUUAUUUUCUCACCAGUGUAAUGACAACGACAUCGAUUCUCAUUCGCAUCACACAAAUCCAAGGGACCAAUGACACCAUACUUCCAACCUAAAAUGCAUUAAGUUUCAAACUAUUGCUGUAUUUGCGCACGAAGUGAUGGAAAUUUAGAAAGAAAGAAAGAAAAAAAAAAGAAAAAAAAAGAAGGUAUUGGCACAUAUUAUAUUAAAAUAAGUAAUGCUAUUUAAACACACAAGAUUGACCACAUUUGCUAACCGCCUUAUGUGGUAGCUGAUGUGGUCAUGUCAUGCCAAUUAAUGAAUAUUGUCAUAUAUAUUUUAUUUUUAUUUGUUUCCUCUUUUUAAUAAUUAUUAAAAAC
rnacentral:lncRNA from 1 species